AGAAUGUGGUGUAAAGGAAACACAGAGGAUUUUGAGUUCUUGGAUAUAGGUUCGAGUCCUAUUGUUCUAG
rnacentral:tRNA from 1 species